AACCGACGCACUUUCCAUGAGCGAAACAACUCUUGGGAAAGCUAGCAAACGUUACAAUGUCUGUAUAUAUUGCAACGUACCGUUUACCCGAGCAUAUACGUAACCGAGUACACGCAUGAUCGAGCAACAUUGAAGAAUUGCCAACCUAUCGUGAGCGGGAUAAUCUCUACGCACGACGCGGCGACAACACCGGGGGAUCAAACCAACUAUAUAAGGACUACGCUGAGCAGCAAUAAUAAGCAGUGAUCAAGCAAGGAGCUGGCCUGUCUCGCCAAGUCGUUUCGAGGGAGCAGACGAGUAAUCGUCGACGACGAGAAUCAGCUAGCCGCAUUCCUCUGUCCGGAGAUUUUGAGUACUAGGUCCUCUACCUCCUGGAUUCUGCGAACCAGGUACGCUACCUGGUGAAACCCGACUUCCAGGACAAGUGCUCCGUGGUUCCUGUGCUCCAGGUCCGCUAUUUGGUGAAACUCAACUUCCAGGACAAACGCUUCGUAGUUUCUGCGCUCCAGGUCCAUUACCUGGUGAAACUCGAUUUCCCGGACCAGUGGACUAACAUUUAUUUACCCAUUGAACAACUCACACGUGUACAAAAACUAGCUACACUAAGCAUCCGACCUCGAGCGAGCUUAGUUUGUAAAAACUGAUUGUGAUGAUAUUUUAAUUUCAAAAGUGCCCGCGAAAUUUUACCUAGCACAGCCAUCACGGUUUCGGCGUCAGGCGGGCGAAACGGCUGAGUAUGUGAAAGACUCUGCGGAAAGACCCCAACCUAAAUAGUCCUCCGAUGGAAUACUGCGCAGCAAUCAAAAUUUCAGUCUUGUCUUAACUUCAAUACCUAUUUCAAUUAUUCACAAUACAAAUUUCACCAAAUAAGAGGAAUCUGUGUGAUCUUCGCUACCGUUAUUACAAAUUUAACGUAUGCAGUCUACGAAACCUGUUGGUCUCUCAAUACUGAGAUGAGGAGGGAAAACUUUCAAAAAGCCGUGGACGUGAACCUCAUCGAAGAAGUCCCAACAUAAUCUAAUUCAUCACACAACGGAGCUGCUGCCGAGGACUCAAUUAAGGGAUGAGUCAUUUUUAACAUAUUUAUGACUUAUCAACUUUUUUUAAUUAUCAUCGUGGACAAUUUUAUAUCCCCGUGUGUUAAUUCCGGCGUAUUUUAUUUUAAAUUAUUUGUGAAUGUUUGAAUGAAUUUGUAAUUUUAAUUAUUUUGACGAUGAACAGAAUUUGACGAGUUAUUAUAAGUAGCAAUAUAUGAAGAGUUCUACACGUAGAUUCCUGUUACCGACACUUACCGACAUGCUCCCCAGACUCAAACCCUUUUCCGCGAUGACGUCACAGUCUGGCGUACCGACUUGAGGUCAAAAAAACGUGCAACCAUACCGACAGUUGUAUCGGUCAACGAUCAAAAAUCACACUGCUUUACCGACAAUUCUUAUCGGUCGAAGGUCAAAAUCGUGUUGUUUCACCGACAAUCUUACCGACCAAAGGUCGAAAUCGUGCUGCUCAGGGUGGCCACCCAUCUGGAAAACCGGGAAAUGUCAGGGAAUUUUGUAUAUCAGGGAAAAGUCAGGGAAAUGUCAGGGAAUUUUUUGGUUGGUCAGGGACUUUUCAGAGAACUCACGGAUUUCAAAAGCUUUGUCCAUAAAAUUGAGAUGCUAUCACCGCAUCGUCACAAUUUUUCUUCUCUUCUCAUUGACGAUUAUAAGCUUAGUUGCUGAUUGUCACAUGAAUUCAGUAGUACGAGCAGACAUCGGUUUGAUUUAUCUAUGGCCGUCACUGCGUGUGGAGACGCAAGUUCACCGACGCCUAAUAGUCUAGAAAAAACGAAGCCUCAGAUUUUUGGCAAUAACUCAAAAAGUAAAAGCGCUAGCGAAAAUUUUAAAAAGAUUCUUAAAGAGGAGGAAAUUUCCAAUAAAAAAGUACACGCACCCGGAAUUCUAUCUUCAGUAUUAGUAAUUUUAAUUUAACGCUGAACAUAGGGCUCUGCGCAACUGUUACGGCAUAGACGCGCCGCGUCUAGACAGUACACCGCAUAAAAUCAUUGUUUUGCUAUAUUAAAUAUCAAUUUAAAAAUUUGGAUGAAUUGUGGUGUAUUCUUAACGCUUAAAAGAAAAAUGUCCCGUUGGAAAAAAAUUUUUAAGUUCAUUUUUCAAAAAGUUACACAUUCGUUAAUUAGUCAUAAUUCUUCGAACCUCGAUUUUCAUUGCAAACAGCAUAAAUGUUUAAAUAAUAGCUCUAAAAAUAUUUCGCUUCUUGGAGCCCCUUCUUAAAUAUAUACUUAACAAGACCAAGCAAAUGGAAAUUUUCAUUUUUUGUCAACUUUCAAAAAUUAUAAUGAACGGAAUGAACAACUUUUAAAAACUUUUAUAACUUUAAUAUAUUUGGCCAUACUUUACCUAGGUUACUAUAGUUUUUUGUGAUUUCUGCACAAAUUGUACAUCAAAAUGUUAGAGAAAAAUAAUGAUUUUAGUCAGGGAAAACCGGGAA
rnacentral:lncRNA from 1 species